CCAGCCAUGCCGCGUGCAGGAUGACGGCCCUAUGGGUUGUAAACUGCUUUUAUAGAGGAAGAAACUUGUGUACGUGUACCAAGCUGACGGUACUAUACGAAUAAGGAUCGGCUAACUCCGUGCCAGCAGCCGCGGUAAUACGGAGGAUCCAAGCGUUAUCCGGAUUCAUUGGGUUUAAAGGGUCCGUAGGCGGAUCUUUAAGUCAGUGGUGAAAGCCGACAGCUCAACUGUCGAACUGCCAUUGAUACUGGAGACCUUGAGUACAAAUGAAGUAGGCGGAAUGAGUCAUGUAGCGGUGAAAUGCAUAGAUAUGACUCAGAACACCGAUUGCGAAGGCAGCUUACUAACAUGUAACUGACGCUGAGGGACGAAAGCGUGGGGAGCGAACAGGAUUAGAUACCCUGGUAGUCCACGCCGUAAACGAUCAUCACUCGCUGUUGGCGAUAUACUGUCAGCGGCCAAGCGAAAGUA
rnacentral:rRNA from 1 species